CGUAAUAAUAGAAACUAACCAGGAUUCCCUUAGUAACGGCGAGUGAACUGGGAUACCAACACACCAAUAUGCACUCUGUGCAUAAUUUAGCCCGUCGAUACUAUCCUAGCAUAUCACCGGUCUCGGCCGGUAACCCAAUAUGCGGGAAUUGUAGCAUCGUAAUAAAAAAUAUAUAUAUGCUGUGCACACACACACACACACACCCAGUGCCAUGCGUACGUGACCUUGUAAACACACAGCGUCUCCGCGUUGGAAAGCAAGUAUAUAUCCUCUUUGGAUAUGCCAUAGAGUGUGACAGCCACGUUUGACUCACUCCACACGUUACGCGCACACACACCCAUUGCACACACACAUUAUAUAUUUCUAUAACCUGAGUCGAGUUAUUU
rnacentral:rRNA from 1 species